GUGGGGAAUUUUGGACAAUGGGCGCAAGCCUGAUCCAGCAAUGCCGCGUGCAGGAAGAAGGCCUUCGGGUUGUAAACUGCUUUUGUACGGAACGAAACGGUCCUGGUUAAUACCCGGGGCUAAUGACGGUACCGUAAGAAUAAGCACCGGCUAACUACGUGCCAGCAGCCGCGGUAAUACGUAGGGUGCAAGCGUUAAUCGGAAUUACUGGGCGUAAAGCGUGCGCAGGCGGUGCUGUAAGACAGGCGUGAAAUCCCCGGGCUUAACCUGGGAAUUGCGCUUGUGACUGCAGUGCUGGAGUGCGGCAGAGGGGGAUGGAAUUCCGCGUGUAGCAGUGAAAUGCGUAGAUAUGCGGAGGAACACCGAUGGCGAAGGCAAUCCCCUGGGCCUGCACUGACGCUCAUGCACGAAAGCGUGGGGAGCAAACAGGAUUAGAUACCCUAGUAGUCC
rnacentral:rRNA from 1 species